CGCCGAGCUCACCUCGCAGAACUCGGAGCUCCUUCUGAAGGUCCAGAUGCUUGAGAUGUUUGAGAAAGACGAUACAGACAUGCAAAGCUCCAGCCCAGACUUUGUGCCUUUGGUCCGGUAUGAGACCCUGAGGAAAGAGCUGGAGUCCCUGCAGGAUCGCUUAUCCGAGGCCCAGGCUUCUCAAGAGGCCUCCAGCAAUUCAGAAGAGUCGCAGGAUAAGGAGGCCCAGAAGGGAGGUCUGGAGGGGGAGGGCGCCCAAGCCCUGAGGGCGAAGGUGGAGGAGCUGGAGCAGCAGCUGACCUCCUCCAGGGCGGAGGUGGAGGAGCUCAAGGAGCAGAUGGAGCUGGGGGUCUUCUCUGUGGAGGGGCCCACGAGCUCCACCACCGAGCAGGAGGAGGAGGUGGUGGAGGGGGCCGGCCAGGAGGAGACGCAGCAGCUGAG
ensembl:lncRNA